CUCCCCACCCACUUCCCCAUCCCCAUCCCCACAGCCUUUUUCCCCCACCAGCAUUUUUAUUUAUUUUCUCAGUGUUUUUAAUUUUAAUUUGUUUUUUGGGUGGGUGAAAUAGCUGGAAAGCUUUUCAAUCUGCCCUACCCCCACCCCGGCUGUCCCUGCCCGCCCGCCCGCACUGUGCCAGCCUGCCACUGGUCUGGAAUUCCUUUUUUCUCCUGACAAGUGUGUGGGGCAGAAGAUCUCCAGGACAAUGAAGGGGGGGAAGAGGGGAGUAUUUUCAGGUCACUCUGGGCCAGCAGGAUGUCAGUGUUUCUGAGAAGAGAAAUGUGCCACUGAGUUAUAGAAGUGACUUGGGCUGCAAUACUAAGCACAGUUAUUAAGGAGCGAAUCCCUUUAAAAUCAGGUUUGACGCUCAGCUUUGACUCUCUUC